AGCUCCAAUAGCGUAUAUUAAAAUUGUUGCAGUUAAAAAGCUCGUAGUUGGAUUUCUGGUUCGGCGCUCUUGGCCCGCCUCGGUUUACGGGGUUGUGUGCCGGUGGGCGCCAUCCAUCCUUCGAGUGAACCGUUCUACCCUUCACUGGGCGGGGCGGCAAGCUCGAUCUUUUACUUUGAAAAAAUUAGAGUGUUUAAAGCAGGCUUGCGCUAUGAAUACAUUAGCAUGGAAUAAUAAUUUAGGACUUUGGUCUUAUUUUGUUGGUUUCUAGGACUAAAGUAAUGAUUGAUAGGGACAGUUGGGGGUGCUAGUAUUCAGCGGCCAGAGGUGAAAUUCUUGGAUUCGCUGAAGACUAACUUAUGCGAAAGCAUUCACCAAGGAUGUCUUCU
rnacentral:rRNA from 1 species